GCCUGGGUGGCUCAGUCCGUUGAGCAUCUGACUUCGGCUCAGGUCAUGAUCUUGCGGUUCGUGGGUUCGAGCCCCACAUUGGGCU
rnacentral:tRNA from 1 species